CUCUUCCGAUCUGAUGGUUUCUUCCGUAUGAUGUUUAGGUUGCGGUGAAAGAAAAAGAAAGAAAAAAUACAACAGGCUAUUCGAUACUUUCUGGCAUAUCACAUCAAUCAUUUAGGAUGAUUUGGGAUUUUAUAGCACCCGUUGGUAUGGAGAUUUUGGAUCCAUAUUUGUUUUGGAGUGCGACUUGAGAUUUUAUGGCACCACAAGGAGUUAAUGGCGGAAAAU